rnacentral:ncRNA from 1 species
UCUUAUCCAGAGAGGUGGAGGGACUGGCCCUUUGAAACCUCGGCAACCAUUGAGCGAUUCAUUCGUUUAAUACAGGUGCCAAUUCCACUAGGUGAUCUAAAACCUGGAGAGAUAAGA